rnacentral:misc_RNA from 1 species
GAUGAAGAACGUAGUGAAAUGCGAUAAGUAAUGUGAAUUGCAGAAUUCAGUGAAUCAUCGAAUCUUUGAACGCACAUUGCGCCCGCCAGUAUUCUGGCGGGCAUGCCUGUUCGAGCGUCAUUACAACCCUCAGGCCCCCGGGCCUGGCGUUGGGGAUCGGCGGAGCCCCCCGUGGGCACACGCCGUCCCCCAAAUACAGUGGCGGUCCCGCCGCAGCUUCCAUCGCGUAGUAGCUAACACCUCGCAACUGGAGAGCGGCGCGGCCACGCCGUAAAACACCCAACUCUUCUGAAGUUGACCUCGAAUCAGGUAGGAAUACCCGCUGAACUUAAGCAUAUCAAUAAGCGGAGGA